rnacentral:rRNA from 1 species
UUACCAUGCAGUCGAACGGCAGCGCGGGGGUAACCCUGGCGGCGAGUGGCGAACGGGUGAGUAAUACAUCGGAACGUGUCCUGGAGUGGGGGAUAGCCCGGCGAAAGCCGGAUUAAUACCGCAUACGCUCUAUGGAGGAAAGCGGGGGACCGAAAGGCCUCGCGCUCAAGGAGCGGCCGAUGGCGGAUUAGCUAGUUGGUGGGGUAAAGGCCCACCAAGGCGACGAUCCGUAGCUGGUCUGAGAGGACGACCAGCCACACUGGGACUGAGACACGGCCCAGACUCCUACGGGAGGCAGCAGUGGGGAAUUUUGGACAAUGGGCGAAAGCCUGAUCCAGCAAUGCCGCGUGUGUGAAGAAGGCCUUCGGGUUGUAAAGCACUUUUGUCCGGAAAGAAAACUUCGCCUCUAAUACAGGUGGAGGAUGACGGUACCGGAAGAAUAAGCACCGGCUAACUACGUGCCAGCAGCCGCGGUAAUACGUAGGGUGCAAGCGUUAAUCGGAAUUACUGGGCGUAAAGCGUGCGCAGGCGGUGAUGUAAGACCGAUGUGAAAUCCCCGGGCUUAACCUGGGAACUGCAUUGGUGACUGCAUUGCUAGAGUAUGGCAGAGGGGGGUGGAAUUCCACGUGUAGCAGUGAAAUGCGUAGAGAUGUGGAGGAACACCGAUGGCGAAGGCAGCCCCCUGGGCCAAUACUGACGCUCAUGCACGAAAGCGUGGGGAGCAAACAGGAUUAGAUACCCUGGUAGUCCACGCCCUAAACGAUGUCAACUGGUUGUUGGGGAUUCAUUUCCUUAGUAACGAAGCUAACGCGUGAAGUUGACCGCCUGGGGAGUACGGUCGCAAGAUUAAACUCAGAG